GACGAACCGUGCAAACGUUAUUCGGAAUCACUGGGCAUAAAGGGCGCGUAGGCGGCUUCAUAAGUCAGGGGUGAAAGCCCAAGGCUCAACCUUGGAAUUGCCUUUGAUACUGAGGGCCUUGAGACCGGAAGAGGUCGGCGGAACUGCGAGUGUAGAGGUGAAAUUCGUAGAUAUUCGCAAGAACACCAGUGGCGAAGGCGGCCGACUGGUCCGGUUCUGGACGCUGAGGCGCGAAAGCGUGGGGGAGCAAACAGG
rnacentral:rRNA from 1 species